rnacentral:rRNA from 1 species
UACGGGGGGGGCAAGCGUUGUUCGGAAUUACUGGGCGUAAAGGGUUCGUAGGUGGCCAAGUAAGUCAGACGUGAAAUCCCUCAGCUCAACUGGGGAACUGCGUCUGAUACUGAUUGGCUUGAGUGCAGGAGAGGAACGCGGAAUUCCAGGUGUAGCGGUGAAAUGCGUAGAUAUCUGGAGGAACACCGGUGGCGAAGGCGGCGUUCUGGACUGCAACUGACACUGAGGAACGAAAGCCAGGGGAGCAAACGGG